ensembl:lncRNA
CUAUUAACAAGUCAAAGGCUUUGUAUUAACUUAGUCUACAGCCCUCAGGACUUGUCUUUGUCUGGACUUGCCUGGGUCUUCUGGGACAGAUUUACUAGCAAUAGCUUUCUAAUGACAAGUAUGGUACAUCUCUAAAAUACCCUCACCUUCUGACAGUUUGGAUGUGGCUAUUAUGAAUUAUCAUGCAUCUAGACUCCUCAUGUCAGAGAGCUCGAAGGCCACGAAGCUUCUUACAAAGUAAAUUCUUCACUGGUUUACAGCAAAAGACCUAUGUGAGACCUGAGCUUUAACAGAACGACUUCUUGUACCUGCCCAUCACUGUUAAUGAUGUGUAAUUUAUGGAAAAUAGUGGAUAGUAAUUCUGAAUCAGCAAAGCUGCAGCUAAUAAUGUUAGAAAGUAUCGUGUCAGAUUGAUGUCAGAUUUAUAACAAAUAUAAUUGGCGAGUAAAUUUUCUCCUAUCAACAAUUGUAAGGAUUCAGUCUAUACAGUAACAUACUUAAAAUAUUUGUUUAACAUGUAUUCUGUUUUUUAUUAAUAAAGGCAUGUCUAAUAAUUCUUGAACAAAAUAUAUUCAGUAAUUGAAUACUUUGCAUUAUAUUUUAAUGUUUUAAUUUUUAGCCUGUGAACUAAGUAACAUCUCACUUAAAUUAAUUAUAGAAAAUAAUUGAAGAGGAGAAUUCCCAAGUAAUGGUAAAGGACGAUACCAUGUUUGGUUUUAAUUUUUUUCUCUAUAUCUUGAAUUUUUAUUAUCAUCUAUUUUAAUCACGUCAGUGAUCAAAAUAAGUAGAUAAGUAAAUUGCUAUUCGUACUACACAGGUUUUCUAUGAUAGUUGCUGAGAAAAGGUUUCUGCAUUCUCACUGAUUUUAUACCUAAAGAAACCUAAAAUGAAAUCUGCUUUUAAAUACAAAGUUAUAAACAAAGUAAAACUACACACUGUACACUGCUCUUCUAAGUUUUAAGAAUAUCUGUGUUAAAGCAGUGUAACUUUUUUUUUUAUGGCACAAGUCUAAGAAUUGGGGGGGAGCAGUGUUUUGAAAUGAAAAGCCUGAUUCAACCACUUAAGGGUUAAAAAAACCUCCUAUUGAACUAGGUUACACAUCAUAUUUCUAAUCUUCAUUUCUGAAGUACUCCUUCACUGGAUUUGUAAUGAAAAGCUGAGUACCAUCAUAUGUGCAGGACAUAGGAAAGAUGAUAAUACUCUGCGGUGUAUAUUGGAUAGGUGAAGACAAUGCCUUAAAUACAUUUCGCAUUCUGAAUUUGACCACCAGACAGAAAUGUCUAGCAUACGGGAUUCAGCAAAUAUGCAUUUUUGUUUUGUUUACCAAAUCUUUUCUAUUUACAAAUUUGCAUAUUUGCUUUGUAUAGGUUGAAGUUUGUACCAAAAUGCAUGGAAAACAACAGAAGCAAAAUUCUGAAUAGCUUAUCAAAAGGACUUCAAUUACACAAAUUAUGCAUCACAAUAUUAAAUAUUCAGGACUGACAUAUGUAUUCAAACUGUGCAAAAUAUGGUAAGGAUCUUUAAAAUGAAUCAUGACAGUCAUUAUAAUUUUGGGCUGUGCUGAGAAGACAAAUGUCUUCAACGAUGACAGUGCAGUAGACAAAAUAUGGCACUGAUGGAAUGAAGCAGAUUGCCCAAGCAGCUUGACUAAUUGUCUGUAUCAGAUAUCACCAGUCUGGAACUAUCUACAGAGUCCACAUCAGCUGAAAGGAAUUCCAGUAUUCACCUGGUUACUGUAGAACUCAGCUGCUUCAGGACUGAGUAUCUUAAGCUUUUGAAAGUUUAAAUAGAGAAGGUGAUAUUUGCAAUGAGGUAUGUAGGUGCAUUGAGACAAAAUGAAAAAGCUAAACC